UCAAUCUGAUGGGCCCCCCUCUCUCUCUCUCACUCUUCGCCCCUCAUACCUACAGUAUUUUAUCUUCUUCCUGCUCCGCCCCGCCGUGGCUCUGGAUCUGGUGACCUAGCUAGCCAACCAUGCCUCGCACUCCACCGAAGCCUUCCUGCUUCGAGCUACUCCACGCCCCAGUAUUUCAGCUUCUCUGUCCUGUUCCCCUUGCGCGGAUCGAUCUACUUCCGGCCGGGCGCGCGGCGCAGGACGGGAGGGCUUGGCCUUGCUGCUGCUGCUGCUUCCUCUCGGCUCCAGAUCCCCCGCUCGUUGAUGGCCGGCCGGAUCUCCUCGCAGCCGGCCGGCCGUAUACACCGUGUCUGAUCCUUCCUCUUUGUCCAGAUGUUAAACCAAACACGGUUCGAUCUGAGCAGAUGGUCAACUUCUUCCUAUGCCAGGUUCUAGGCCAGCUACCAAGCAUCAUCUGCUCGGGAUAUUUUGCUUACUCUGACAUCCCGUAACUCUGUUGAAUUACUCUCCUAUAUACCGUCACGUAUAGAUGGUUCUGGGUCAGCCACCAAGUUUCCUCUGUUCUGCAUAUUUUGUUUCGUUUGACAUCCAACAAGUCUGGAAGCGAUCUCUUUAUAGCGUCACAUAUAACUGGUUAAGAAGAUGCGGGAGAAUGGGCAUGCAGUUGAUGAUGCCCUUUACGCACUAGCGACGGGUCCUGAUACUCGGGUAAGACAUUAUGAACCUUGCGUUGUCGGAGAUGUGCGCCACAACACCCUUGCACACGAUGAAGGCAGGAAGACACAAAACAGUGCCAUCAUGAGCACUGAUACGUACGGCAAAGAGACAACUGAAAUGAUCGCAAACCAGAGCUGGUGAUUAUUUCAAAUCCAUCAAUGUCAAGGCAGCGUAUCAGACCAACGAGCCUUUUAUUUUGGCAAAUCAAGCAACACAGAUAUUUUUCUUGGAAGACACAUUUGCACGUAGCGAUGACCGGAGAGUAUUGCAAUGGUUUGAGCAAAGGAAUUCAUUUAAUGAAGUUGCACAACAAGAUGAUGCUUAUACUACUGCUGACCUACAAUAUUCCACAGAUGUUCCUAAUAUCUUUGAGAAUUAUCAUGUUAAUGACGCUGGCAAAAAGAUUGUCUGUUGUGCUGUGGACAUACAAGAGUUGAUCAAAAAGAAGCCAACGUUCGAGGACAUUGAGGAUGAAGAAGAAGAUGACACUAUGGGAAUUACG